UACGGAGGAUCCAAGCGUUAUCCGGAUUUAUUGGGUUUAAAGGGUGCGUAGGCGGCUUAUUAAGUCAGGGGUGAAAGACGGUAGCUUAACUAUCGCAGUGCCUUUGAUACUGAUGAGCUUGAAUGUACUUGAGGUAGGCGGAAUGUGACAAGUAGCGGUGAAAUGCAUAGAUAUGUCACAGAACACCAAUUGCGAAGGCAGCUUACUAAAGUAUGAUUGACGCUGAGGCACGAAAGCGUGGGGAUCAAACAGG
rnacentral:rRNA from 1 species